rnacentral:rRNA from 1 species
CUUUUGUUGCGAAAAGGGUUUGGAGAAUUGAGCAAGUCCCUGUGCUAGGUUGUUUUAUUAAAAGCUCUCUUUUACACACUUGCCUAUACCAUGGUAAUACAAUAAUUUCUAUUGUAAAUAGAUUUUAUUUUGAGAGUUAUUAAAGUAUUAUACGUAAGUAUAGAAUUCGCCCGAUAAGCCCGUUCUCUAAGGUGGAAACACUGUAUAAAACAGCAUACACCAAAACUCAAUGAACUAAAAGAUUUUAUUAAUUGAAGGAAAAGAAACCAACCGGGAUUGCGCUAGUAGUACAGAGCGAAAACGCAUAAGCUUGAUUAAAUAUUUUUUGUUUACGGUUGAACUUAAGUGGAAUCCGGACCAGAGAAAGUUAUAGUCUUGUAGAUUGUAAACAAAAAAGUGCUAUAAUUAUCUAUUUAUAAGCAUGAAACUGUUUAUUUUUUGGUAUAAUCCAGAAAUUAAUCGGGAAGAUCAAUCAAAUUAGUGGUUUAACACUGCUAGUUAUUGACGGAAACCACUCCGUUGGCUAAAUAUUCUAUGUAGAUCGAUAGUGAAUCAGUACUGUAAAGGAAUUUGGAAACAAGAAUGCCAUUGCUUCUCUGAAUACAAGUCCCAAAACAGGUUGCUUACAAUGACUUUCAGUUUGGCAGUUAUAAUGUUGAAUAGAAAGGUUCCUUUUGAAUCAUGAGCUGAUGACUUUGUGUUAGUUUAAGGCAUACGUUUAUUGUACCCUUUUCUAGGACACUUUCAAAAGAAAGUACAAUUAAUGUGAGUAGCUUAAUUUAUUAAAAGUAAGCAUAUUAUGAAAGUAAACUAUUCAUAGAAAACUAACACAAGACGCGAAACGAAGUGAGCUUAAGUAGGCCAGGGGGAAGGUUACCGGAAGGUAGUUGGACGCCCGAAGUGGUAUGCGUUGCAACGCGUUCAUAUGAGUUUAUUUAAGGGGCGAAAUACCAAUCGAACUUCGAGAUAUCUCGUUUUUUGCGAAACCUUUUUAGGAAGGGGGCCUGCAAAAAUGAUGCUAACUAGGUAGAGCGCUGUAAAACUGAUGGGAAGGAAACUUUUACUGAGGUGUUGCAAACCACAAAUUAGGGGCAUUUUAUCAGGUACUCAGUCAGUGCGGGACAAGCUGCAUUUGACAAGAAGGAAACAGCCUAGACUAUAAAUUAAGGCCCGGAAAUUGCGCUAAGUGAGAAAGUAAUUAACUUCACAAAAAUUAGUAGGACGUUUGAUUAGUAGCAUCUAUCGUUUCAAGAAAGCGUAAUAGCUCACUACUAUAGUUUAGUUGUUGCGAAAAUUUACCCGGACUAAGCGCAAUGCCGAAAUUAUAGCUAACUGGAUUAUAUAAAAAUCAGUUAGAGUAGCAAAACGAACCAUGUUGACAAAGUUAUGUCGGUAAGACUUAAUGAAAAUAUUGGUUGUGAAUAUAUCAGCUAGAGUAACAUAUAAAUUGAGACUUUUAAAUGAAUAAUAGCUUUAAUUAUUUUAUUUGCAUUGAUACCCUCGUCUUUGUUUUAUUAAACAAAGGUUAUGUAAAUAAUAAAUAAAAGAAAAGUUUAUUUAUUGAAAGAAUAGUAUCUCAAUGAUCGGAAAUCCUGGGUUUUCUACACAACUAUUAAAGAUGUAGUUAAAAAUACGGUCCCUAAGUAAUAUAGAGGUUAUGAUGGGUGCCUGCUAUGCCCAAUAAAAUCUUAUUUGUAGAUCUGUUGCAGGAAAAAAUAGCAGGCAAUUUAUGCAAAAAUAGAUUUAGAUUUUUUUUUUGCUUUUUGCGCGCAUAAAUACAGUAAUACCGUACUAAAACUGACUCUGGUGGAUUAGUAGAUUUUACUAAGAUUUGGUUAUAAUCGUUCGUAAGGAACUCGGCAAAUUACGCUGGUACUUUCGAAAACAGCGGUCUAAAAGUAACGUUUUAGAUCUCAGAUAAGAAAACUGGGUGACAGUUUACUAAAAACUUAGCGUCCUGCCAAUUUGAAACAAGACGUAUAGGAUGUGACGUUUGCUAACGGCCACUAAUUUAAGUAAUCUGCUGUAAAAGGUAGAUAAACAAGAUGUGGUGACGAGCGGCCGUAACUAUAACGGUCAUAAAGUAGCGAAAUUCCUAGGCAUUUAAUUGGUGUCCUGCAUGAAUAACGUAACAACCUGGUUGCUGUCUCGCGAGCGAAAACCGUGAAAUAAGAAUAUCGGUUAAAAUACCGAUUAGGCUGUCUUAGACGAUAAGACCCUGUGAAGCUUUACUGUAACCUAGCAUUGCGAUCGGUUUUUUAUCUUACAGCUAGGCGGGAGGCAAUGCCAACAAUGGAAAACCGCUAGAUAAUAAAUUGGUCGCUUUUAUAUGAGAGCUCUUUUUAAUCUAUAAGAAAUUUAUAUAAGAGGCAUUAUAUAAAACAUUUUAUGCGAAUAGAAUAUUAUGUAAAUAAAUCUUUAUAUAAAAUACUUUAAUUAACAAGGCUCGAAGACAGUGUUAGGUGGGCAGUUUACUUGGGGCGAGGUCUGGCUAAAAAGUAACGCCAGAGAGCAAAAGGUAUGCUCAGUAUUGUCGGAAACAAUAUGUAGAGCGUAAUAGUAUAAGCAUGCCUGAUUAUAAGACUGACAAGUCAAAUAAGGACGAAAGUCUGCUAUAGUGACCCUCACAUGCUAGGUGGAAAGGUGUGAGAUCAACGAAUCAAAGUUACUCCAGGGAUAACAGGGUAGUCCUGGCUUAUAGUUCUUAUAGACGCCAGGGUUCGCCACCUCGAUGUUGCCUCAGGUCAUCCUAGAGCUGCACAAGGUUCUAAGGGCGCAACUGUUCUUUGCAUAAUGACCUACGUGAGGUGAGUUUAAACCGCCGUAAGGCAGGUUUGGUUCUAUCUAGACAGCCAUAAUAUUUAACCAAGCACUAGAAUUCCACUGUACGAAAGGACCCGGGAUUCCGCGCCAAUGGUUUAGCAAUUGUUUUGAAAAAAGCACUGUUGCAACGCUAAGCGCGAAAUGUUAAUUGCUGAAAAACUAUCAAGCAAGAAACAAUUGUAAAGGUUAUAGUAGAUCGCAUUUGCGUAAAUAGGCGCGGGGUGUACACUUUGUAAGAAGCUCAGCUACCGCGUACUAAUUUUUUU